UACGUAGGGUGCGAGCGUUGUCCGGAAUUAUUGGGCGUAAAGGGCUCGUAGGCGGUCUGUUGCGUCAGGAGUGAAAACUCGGGGCUUAACCCCGAGCCUGCUUCUGAUACGGGCAGACUAGAGGUAUGCAGGGGAGAACGGAAUUCCUGGUGUAGCGGUGAAAUGCGCAGAUAUUAGGAGGAACACCGGUGGCGAAGGCGGGUCUCUGGGCCGAAAUUGACGCUGAGGAGCGAAAGCGUGGGGAGCAAACGGG
rnacentral:rRNA from 1 species